ACGGGUGAGUAAUACAUCGGAACGUGCCCUGUAGUGGGGGAUAACUAGUCGAAAGAUUAGCUAAUACCGCAUACGACCUGAGGGUGAAAGUGGGGGACCGCAAGGCCUCAUGCUAUAGGAGCGGCCGAUGUCUGAUUAGCUAGUUGGUGGGGUAAAGGCCCACCAAGGCGACGAUCAGUAGCUGGUCUGAGAGGACGAUCAGCCACACUGGGACUGAGACACGGCCCAGACUCCUACGGGAGGCAGCAGUGGGGAAUUUUGGACAAUGGGGGCAACCCUGAUCCAGCAAUGCCGCGUGUGUGAAGAAGGCCUUCGGGUUGUAAAGCACUUUUGUCCGGAAAGAAAUCGCACUGGUUAAUACCUGGUGUGGAUGACGGUACCGGAAGAAUAAGGACCGGCUAACUACGUGCCAGCAGCCGCGGUAAUACGUAGGGUCCAAGCGUUAAUCGGAAUUACUGGGCGUAAAGCGUGCGCAGGCGGUUGUGCAAGACCGAUGUGAAAUCCCCGGGCUUAACCUGGGAAUUGCAUUGGUGACUGCACGGCUAGAGUGUGUCAGAGGGGGGGUAGAAUUCCAC
rnacentral:rRNA from 1 species